CUUGGUCAUUUAGAGGAAGUAAAAGUCGUAACAAGGUUUCCGUAGGUGAACCUGCGGAAGGAUCAUUACUGAGAACCAUGCCCCUUGGGGUAUAUCUCCCACCCUUUGUUUACAAUACCUUUGUUGCUUUGGCGGGCCCGUCUUAUGACCACUGGCGUUAGCUUGUCUGUGCCUGCCAAAGGCCCUAAAACUCUUUAUUGUAUUGUCAGAGUACUAUAUUAAUAGUUAAAAACUUUCAACAACGGAUCUCUUGGUUCUGGCAUCGAUGAAGAACGCAGCGAAAUGCGAUAAGUAAUGUGAAUUGCAGAAUUCAGUGAAUCAUCGAAUCUUUGAACGCACAUUGCACCCUCUGGCAUUCUGGGGGGUAUGCCUGUUCGAGCGUCAUUACGACCCUCAAGCACUGCUUGGUAUUGGAUGCUACCACCUGGUGCAUCUCAAAAAAAUUGGCAGUGGCACUCAGCUUCUGGUGUAGUAAUUUUUCUCACCUAGGAGCCUUCGAGUGUCUUGCUGCUCAAACCCUCUAAUCAUCACAAAAGGUUGACCUCGGAUCAGGUAGGGAUACCCGCUGAACUUAAGCAUAUCAAUAAGCGGAGGA
rnacentral:rRNA from 1 species